rnacentral:rRNA from 1 species
GACGAACGCUGGCGGCGUGCUUAACACAUGCAAGUCGAACGAAGUGGCGAACGGGUGAGUAACGCGUAAUCAACCUGCCCUUCAGAGGGGGACAACAGUUGGAAACGACUGCUAAUACCGCAUACUGGAGGAGGGGAUUGCGUCUGAUUAGCUAGUUGGAGGGGUAACGGCCCACCAAGGCGAUGAUCAGUAGUCGGCAUGUGAGGGUGACCGGCCAGAGUGGGGCUGAGAUACGGCCCAGACUCCUACGGGAGGCAGCAGUGGGGGAUAUGGCACAAUGGGCGAAAGCCUGAUGCAGCGACGCCGCGUGGGGGAUGAAGGCUUUCGGGUUGUAAACCUGUGUCGCUAUCGAACGGGUAGGUGGAGAAGAAGCGCCGGCUAACUACGUGCCAGCAGCCGCGGUAAUUC